ACAGUAUGAUGUAAUGGUAACAUACAAUGCUCAUGACAUUGUUAUUAAUAGUUCAAAUCUAUUUACUGUA